CGUACACAAAAAUGCACAUGCUGUGAGCUCGAUGAGUAGGGCGGGACACGUGGUAUCCUGUCUGAAUAUGGGGGGACCAUCCUCCAAGGCUAAAUACUCCUGACUGACCGAUAGUGAACCAGUACCGUGAGGGAAAGGCGAAAAGAACCCCGGCGAGGGGAGUGAAAAAGAACCUGAAACCGUGUACGUACAAGCAGUGGGAGCACGCUUAGGCGUGUGACUGCGUACCUUUUGUAUAAUGGGUCAGCGACUUAUAUUCUGUAGCAAGGUUAACCGAAUAGGGGAGCCGAAGGGAAACCGAGUCUUAACUGGGCGUUAAGUUGCAGGGUAUAGACCCGAAACCCGGUGAUCUAGCCAUGGGCAGGUUGAAGGUUGGGUAACACUAACUGGAGGACCGAACCGACUAAUGUUGAAAAAUUAGCGGAUGACUUGUGGCUGGGGGUGAAAGGCCAAUCAAACCGGGAGAUAGCUGGUUCUCCCCGAAAGCUAUUUAGGUAGCGCCUCGUGAAUUCAUCUCCGGGGGUAGAGCACUGUUUCGGCAAGGGGGUCAUCCCGACUUACCAACCCGAUGCAAACUGCGAAUACCGGAGAAUGUUAUCACGGGAGACACACGGCGGGUGCUAACGUCCGUCGUGAAGAGGGAAACAACCCAGACCGCCAGCUAAGGUCCCAAAGUCAUGGUUAAGUGGGAAACGAUGUGGGAAGGCCCAGACAGCCAGGAUGUUGGCUUAGAAGCAGCCAUCAUUUAAAGAAAGCGUAAUAGCUCACUGGUCGAGUCGGCCUGCGCGGAAGAUGUAACGGGGCUAAACCAUG
rnacentral:rRNA from 1 species